GACGAGGAAGCUCUGCGGAGGAGCGCCCGGCUCUGAUCCCGGGUGGACGCAGGUUCGAAUCCUGCCCUCGUCGCCU
rnacentral:tRNA from 6 species